CUCGUCUGGAGCUUAAGGGUCGGCUAACUCCGUGCCAGCAGCCGCGGUAAUCCGGAGGAUCCAAGCGUUAUCCGGAAUCAUUGGUUUUAAAGGGUCCGUGGGUGGAUGAUUAACUCAGAGGUGAAAUCCUGCCGCUCAACUGUUCAAUUGCCUUUGAUACUGGUUGUCUUGAAUUAUUGUGAAGUAUUUAUAAUAUGUGGUGUAUCGGUGAAAUGCAUAGAUAUCACAUAUAAUACCGAUUGCGAAGGCAGAUUACUAACAAUACAUUGACACUGAUGGACGAAAGCGUGGGGAGCGAACAGGAUUAGAUACCCUGGUAGUCCACGCCGUAAACGAUGGAUACCAGCUGUUCGGAUUUAUCUGAGUGGCUAAUCGAAAGUGAUAAGUAUCCCACCUGGGGAGUUCUUUCGCCAGAAUGAAACUCACAGGAAUUUGCGGCUCAAAGGAAUUGA
rnacentral:rRNA from 1 species